rnacentral:lncRNA from 1 species
GGUGGAUCAAAGACAACAGAGACCAACGGGAGAAAGUUUGGGCUUUGCCAGGCUGAUAGUGGGUGCUGAAUGAGGUGAUUCAUGUCUGUUUUGUUAUGUGUAUUUCGCUGGGAUGGAAAAUGUUAAUUGGGUUCCCCAGGCAGCCUGUUGGGCAGCAUCUUGCAAAUUAAGAAUCUUGUCUGUGGUUCCAUAACACAGAAAGGGGUGAUUUUCUCUUGUAAAGUGGUUUGAACCCCACAGCCAUGGCACUAGCGAGCAGGGUCAUCAGAGCUGCUCCAUUCUUCUGGAAGCUGCAGAGAAAGGGAGCCCGGAAACCUGGUAUGCCGGCAAAAAGGGUAAGUGGCAGGGAAAAAGGGGAGGAGAGAGAAAAGACAGACUCAGUUGGCCUCAUGCUAUCUUCACUGGGUCUUGUUGGAAAGCUAAGUCUCCUCUAUCAGAGUAAAGAUUUUUCCUUUUUAAAAUUUUUGGAGCUAUCAUUUUGGCCAAAUGGAUGACUUAUGGUGACCUGGGAUGCUAUUUUGUGAUAUUCAGUGUUUUAAACCUUUGAUAUUUGACAAACGUUCCAAAACCAAAUUAUAAAUUAUGUCUCUUUUUAACCUUUUAGAUAUUAGGUUCUUUAAAGUCCAAAAAUGACAUUUGGCUUAUUUGGUAUAAAAAUCAUACAGAAAGCAUUGUCAAAUAUGACAUGGUGUUCUGUGUGCCACAGAGGUAACAAAUUUCCUUGCCAAUUGUGUCUUUAACUGUGGCUGCCCUAAAAUGUUUUGUCAUCCACAGGCAAUUGUUGUCUCAUUUUGGUCCUCUUUUUUUCUUUUUUUUUUUUUUUGGAGAUGGAGUUUCACUCUUGUACUCUUGUCGCCCAGGCUGGAGUGCAAUGACACGAUCUUGGCUGACUGCAACCUCUGCCUCCCGGGUUCAAGCAAUUCUCCUGCCUCAGCCUCCUGAGCAGAUGGGAUUACAGGUCUUAAGACUUCUAUCAUACACAGACAUUUCGUCUUGCUUUGGCAGUUUAUAAUCAGGUAUAAGUCUCUUGGGGAAUCUGACCUCAUACCUCAUCUAUGCAGUUCCUGUACAAGGUUCCUGACCUGUGCAGGAAGACGCCAGAGCGAUCCGCAGUCUUUUCCCAUCUUCAUAGGCUAACCUCAAGAUUAAGGUGUUAUAAAACACAAAGGGAGGGAUUGAAACUACCUUUGCAAAAUUAUGACUGAGACAGUGAAAGAAAUCUAACUUGAUCGACUCCAUCUUGCUUCUAACCUGCAAGCUGUCCUUGUCCAUUCUUGGACCGAGGCUGAAUUAACUUUGGGAGGAACUUAGUUUAUAGUUUAAAUCAAAGACGGUAACAGCCCUUUCCCAAAGCAGACCUCCUUCUUGCCUGAAGACUAAAUUGCCUUUGUAGGGCUAACAAUAACCACGAGAUAAGAAAUCAUGGUGGAGGAGUCAUGUAGCUGGAGGGUACAAGAUUCUGACCCUCCCUAAACUGCUCCUAAGAUUAGUGCUUGAGCUAUUUUGCCGACCCUGCACUUGAUAGAUCAGCUGACACCACCCAGAUGGAUAAACUGGCUCAUCUGACUUGCGGCCCCCACCCAGGAUCUGACUCGGUGAAAGAAGACAGCUUUGACUCCCUGUGAUUUCACCCCUGACCAAUCAGCGCUCCCAGCUCACUGGCUUCCCCCGCACCCACCAAGUUUUCCUUAAAAAUUCUGCUCACCAAAUGCUCAGGAACAUUGAUUUGGGUAAUAACACAAUUCCGGUCGCUUGCAAAAUUAAAAAAAAAUCUAAACAGUACAGCAUGUUCUUUAUAUAUUAUCUGAAAGAUAAUUUUCAGAAAAAGGUAAAACAAUGACUUGCACCAAGAUAUUAAAAUACACAACUCUUAAAGAUUUUAUUUUACACAUAUGAUAGAAGGGAACUAGGCAGAUGUUAGAAAUAGUUUAAAGGAAAAGUGAAAACAAUACAAAUUUAUAUGGAGUAAAGGAAUUUUGAAAUGAGUUGCAAAUGGAAAGAAAACUUUUUUAUUUAUUUAUUUUCAAAUUUUUUACAGGAGAAAGAAGCCAGUAAAAAUCACUACUAGACAGGGCAGAAGAUAGAUAGAUAGAUAGAUAGAUAGAUAGAUAGAUAGAUCGAUCUAUGUCUAUAUAUCUCCAUCAGUUACCUGCAAUUUGCAAAGAAUUGUAAAAUAGUUCAAAGACAAUGAACAACCCAGAAGUAUGUGUUACAGUUUUCCAUUGAAACACAUUUUUUAAACAUAUCUAAUAGGUAUGUCUUAACUAGCGAAUUCACACCACUCUUCAGUGAGAGGACUAUUUAUUGAUCAUCUGCCUGUGUGUUGCAGGUUGCUGUCUACCUUUUUCAAAUUUGAAGCAAAGAUUUUCAUUAAAAGAUUUUCACUAGAAUUAAUUAAAAAUCAAAGCCCAAAUCAAAACAGAAUACACAGCAAGCUGUGCUAGUGACAUGGAUGACAACUUCUCCUGGGGAUUACAACUCUCAGGGUGACAUCCGUGUAGAUGAUUCUGUAACUGUUAAAAUGAAAAACUCCCACCCUGUGGGAACAGAGCCGGGUGAGCCCUGGCUUCCACACAGUGCCACCCUGAGAAGGCGAGGUCUCCCCAGCGUCUGUCUGCAGUGCAGCCAGGGCGGAGGAAUGAAGUGUCACAGCAGGAAGCAGAUGGCUGCAUUUGCAGAUAAUCAAUCUAGAGACUUGCAGCCCUGAGUUUCAGGGGAACUUGUCUAAGUAGCAUCCUGUCGCUGGAAGGCAUCUAAUGAACUAAGUUACUGGUGUUCUUGCUUGUCAGAUAGCCCUGGAACACUGUCUGGAUUUUAUAAUCAUUUUCUUGAGAUUGACAAAGUCUAAAUUCUUGCUGAUCAUUGACGAGUCUAAGUUGUAAAGAAUGCUACCCAUGGAUGGAACUUUUUGCUUAAACUUAAGAAAGGGAGGAGAAAUAACAGCAGCGGUGCCCCGUGAAGGUUUCCCAAACAUGGAGGAGUCCUGGUAUAAACCAUGCCUUGGACCCACAGCGGAAGGAGGAGCACAGCACAGCUGGGAUCACGAGGACUCUGAAGUCUCCUGGGACGUGACAGGAGCAGGCUCAGCCACUGUGCACAGCGUGCGUCCUUGAGCAGGUCACCUAAACUGCCUGGGUCUCACAUCCCUGCCAUUCAUGGUGUUGGGGCUUGCCCUGACUUUGUACCAAGAUCAGAGAGGGGCUUAUAGUAGGGAGAACCCAGGCAGCGGGAGGAGGCACUUCCAAGCCCCCAAGGGUAGGCGUGGCCUUCCCGGCCCCCAAGAGUGCAGGGAUGCCAGAGGCUGCAGCGGCAGAUUUGGGCGACUGCUGCCCAAAUUCCUACCUAAGGGGCCUGGGGAGGUCACCCUACAAACCACAAAGCCUCAUUGGAGGGGUCUUAUUAACCCUGUGUAACUCGGCUCUUUCCAACCUUACUCUGGUGUAACCUCACAUGACAGAUAAGGAAGAAAAUCCAAAUAUUUUAACCCUAAAUAUGUUUCUUGGCCAUAUCUUGAAAUGUCCCUGCAGAGCUGUCUCAUGUGGGGAAAGUCUAUAUUCUGUAGAAAAUCCUGUUCCCUUUCCAGGCCUUUUUCCUCAUCCAGGAAAUACUCCACUAAGUUUCUGGCACCUUUUAAGUCUGAUAAGAAACAUUUACCAUCGAUUCUCUGUAAGUCUUCUACCUGGAGGCUGCAUCAGCGUAAUAAGAACCUUGGUCUCCACAACCCCUUAUCCUACCCAGAUAUUUCCUUUCUAUUGGUUCCAGGUCUUUAGAUAAACUCUUUCAACCAACUGCCAAUCAGAAAAUCUGUGAAUCUGCCUGUGAUCUGGAAGCCUCUGCUUCCUGGUGUGCCACCUUUCCCGUCUGAACUGAUGUACAGCUUAAAUGUAUUGAUUGAUGCCUUAUGCCCUAUAGCAUGUAUAAAACCUAGCUGUGCCCUGAUCACCUGGGUCACACGUUCUCCGGGUCUCCUGAGGACUGUGUCACGGGCUGUGGUCACUCACGUUUGGCUCGAAAUAAAUCUCUCCAAUAUUUUACAGAGUUUGUUCUUUUUGUUGACAAUCUUUUAAAAUGUCUAAUCAGGAGAAAAUCCCACUCAUACAGAGCACCCAAAGGUGUGCUGGCUGCCCACUGACUAUUCCGGUCGACAGAGCCAGGUACAGGGGUCAGAGUCACAGCAGCUCCCGUGGGCCGAUGAGGAGGCAUGGCUGGGGAGGAGGCUCUGUCUCUCCACACCCGAUGGAGGCAGCUCUGCUCCUGAGCUCAGGGUGGACUUCACCUGGAGUUAGGAGUCAGGGGUCUGGGUCCUGCUUCCUCAUUGCUCUGGUACCUGAAAAGAUAAGCAGUCUCCGUGAGAUGGGGCCUGACCCAGCAUGCACAAGCCCGGGAAGGAAAGGAGUGAAAGGACCUGCUUCCCUGGGACCAGAGCAAAGAGCAGAAAGAGAGUAAGUGAUUGAUGUCGCCUGGGUUAGAAGGAGGAAGUAGAGAGGAGCGGGUUAGCGUUAGGGGCUUGCCUGGGCAGUCACAAAGGGCCCCACAGGCAGAUGAGCCUGUAAACCAAAAAUACAUUUCUAAGGCCCCCCAGCUGAUAGAGAAUGGAUGGGCUCCUGACUAAACUCCACCCUCAAGCCUAGAACCUUGGCCUUAAGUGAAAACAGCUGACCUGUUUGCCUUUUUGGCCCUCCCUGUAUCCUAUCCUGUGCUCAUAAAAAGACUUCAGCUGGCAGAGCAAAGAAGCUGCUGAGGUAAGCAGUCAGCGAUGCAAGCUGCUGAGCGGUGGGGAUGCAAGUGGCCGAGUGUCAGAGACUCCCGAUUGACAGCGCUGACUUCAGAUGGUGUCGUUUUCCAUGGGGAACCCGGCCGGGGAGGACGGUGCUUCACGGCAAGAUCACCUUCUUUCCACACCACCCCCUUUCCAGUUCUGCCUUUGUCAUCAUUCAAACAGUCUGUGUGACCUGAUUCUUCCUGGACACUGAACAAGAACUUGGGUGUCAAAAAGUGCCAACCUACCAAGGAAAAACAUAGAGGCCUAAAAUGUGACCCCCUGCAAUGAUCUGAUCAGGGAAUAGUCAUAUUUAAAAGGUAAAUGUGAAAGUCAACUGAGUUGAAAUUUGAAUGAAAGCUUUUCAAUAUGCUAAUUAUUUUAAUUCCCACGUCUCCUGAAAUCCAGUGUAAAGGUAGUUUGUGCGGACACCAAAAAAAAAUUGUACAACACAGAGGAAUGGAGAAAACGCCAUCCUGCUUUCUGUGGGACCGCUGACAGAGGAGGGGUGCUGGUCUGCCUUCUCUGUGAGCUGUGCCUUGGGUACUGCACCAUCCUGCUUUGCGUGAGGCUGCUGACGGAGGAGGGGUGCUGGUCUGCCUUCUCUGUGAGCUGUGCCUUGGGUACUGCACCAUCCUGCUUUGCGUGAGGCUGCUGACGGAGGAGGAGUGCUGGUCUGCCAGUAAACCUUUUAAAAUAUUUUACAGAGUUUGGCUUUUUCAUCAGCAUGGCAGAAACACCUUUCCCCUUUCUCUAGACACCCAAUGUAUCAGUGUGGCUGUUGGAAGAUAAACACUUUCAUGAAAAUAAUGAGGCAGUCAUAAGUUCCUCAAACCUGCUGUGUUUUAAUGUCUCUUGACAGAUGCCCUGGAUCUGUUCCUGAAGGAUUACAGCAUGAAGAAAAAUAAUGUGGGUAGCCGGGCUUCAUCUUAGCAACACGAGCACCUCAUUUUGGUUUUCAGUUGGUCUUUUAAUGAACAAAUGUGUUGGAAUGUUUGGGUCUCUGGUUUUUAUGCCGAUUUCUACCAUCCUGCCCUGGGGAUGAGGUGGAGCUGGGAUUAACAAAAAAUUCCUAUUCUCCAGCCAGGCGCAGUGGCUCACGCCUAUAAUCCCAGCACUUUGGGAGGCCAAGGCGGGUGGAUCACCUGAGGUCGGGAGUUUGAGACCAGCCUGGCCAACACGGUGAAACCGAUCCCUACUAAAAAUACAACAAAAAGUUAGCGGGGUGUAGUGGCAGGUGCCUGUAAUUUCAGCUACUUUGGAGCUGAGGCAAGAGAAUCACUUGAACCCGGGAGGGGGAGGUUGCAGUGAGCCGAGACCACGCCAUUGCACUGGUCAAUAAGAACGAAACUCUGUCUCAAAAAAAAAAAAAAUCCUAUUCUCCAUGGGACCCAAAUCCCUUUUUACCUCCACCUCCUGGAUAUGCAGCAAUUAAGUGAUUCACGGAGGUGCAGUGAGGCGAAGGUUCCAUGUAGCCACAGGUUGGAAGAAACAAGUACUGUUGGCAUCAACUUUGUCAGCUUGAAGCAGGCCUUCUAGAACCCAUAAUGCCAGGACAAGCUUUCUAGAUGGCAGAAGAGCCUAGCCUAUUUGGUGUGAAUGAAAGACACUCAGGUGAUACCUUCUAUCUCUUCAAGGCAGCUGUGCUCCUUCAGCCCCAGAAUAACAUACGUGUGACAGACCAGGAUUCAGCCCACAGCCUGGAGCCAAGACACCAUCCGACCCAGAUGAACCUGCGUGGAUCACCUGAGCCACUAGUGACCCAGAGAUCCUGAGAGUGAAAAACAUGCAUGGUCCUAUACACCACUGAGUUUUGGGAUGACUUGUUACUUAGCACUAUUAUGACAAUUGCUGACUAAUAUACCAGGCUCCUGGAAGAUUUGUUGUGAGGUUCUCAUAAAAUGAUGAAUGUGAAAUUGCAUUGUAAGCUGCUUUUAAAAAAGGUACUUAGCUGGAGUGAAAGCUCUACAAAGGCAGAAAUUGUUUUGCUACUGUAACUAGAUGAGUUCCUGGAAUAAAAUAGUAGCUCAAUAAAUACCAUAUUAGAUGCUCGAGGUCUGGCCUCAACCCUGUCAUCAUUGUCAAUCCCUGCGGCUCCUCCUUCCAGGGAGGCUGGGCAGAAGAGCAACAGGAGCAGGUGCUCAGGGGCAACACAGAAGACAGGAGCAGGUGCUCAGGGACAACAAGUACUCAGGGGACAGAAGGUGCCAGGAGGUAGUAGGUGUUCAGGGGGCAGCAGGUGCUCAGGGAGCAGCAGGUGCUCAAAGGCAGUACAGCAGACAGGAGCAGGUCAUUUCUAAAUAAGUUUAAAAACUGAAACAUGAAUUACUAAGCAUGAGUUUAAAGUUUAUAUCCUUUGACAUCGUGUUUUUACAUAGUAUAGAGAAGCUAAAUGUAUUUGGUUCUAUUAAUAAACAUGAAAAUUGUCCGGGUGCAGUGGCUCACACCUGUAAUCCCAGCACUUUGAGAGGUUGAGGAGGGCAGAUAGCUUGAGCCCAGGAGUUUGAGACCAUCCCAGGCAAUGUAGUGAAACUUUGUCUCUACAAAAAAAUACAAAAAUUAGCCAGGCGUGGUGGCUCCAGUUUUGACUGCAAGGAUGGACCCCUGAAAACGCCCAAGGCUUCAGAGGAUGACCGCUAGAGCCAGCAGUUUCUCUUUCCAUAAUCAAUCAUGUUAUUUGAUAGUUAUGAGAGUUGAUUCAAGAUUGAGAGAUGGAAUAGGCUGUUAUUACUCAGGCUCAUUUCCUAAAGUAAAUCAUAAUUUAUAGAUGUGGGACACAUAGGCUUUGAGAUUCCGAUACAAUUAGUGCAAACAUUUAGAAGAUAAAUUGGCCUCCAUUCCAAGGUAACCAAAUGGAU